UAAUAUAUCAUUAAACAACAGCAUUGUGACUAUUAUUAAUUUUCGUUCGGAUAUUUUGUCGACGAAAAUGUCGUCGACAUAUCUGCAGUAGACACGAGGGUUCAGCCCUUCCCUCUGCACGAUGGACGACUCAACACGAGACAUGAACAGUGAAUGAAGCAAGUCUCGAGUGAAAACUUCGAACACGGUAGACUCUAAUUACAAGUCAAAUACUGACGUUUGUAGAAUUUAAUGUCAAUCCUUGACCAAUGUCUUUUGAAAUUGACGGUCUUUUAUUCUUGACGAUGGGCUGGAAAAUGAUGGACAAGUUCAAUGAGUCCAUCGAAAAGAAAAAGACAGCUGAAAGGACAGGUCGCUGCUGCUUCGUUGUUGCCAGUGAAUCCUGACUGAGGCGCCGGAAGUUGAGCAAUUAGCGGGAGGCGAGUUAGUGUUACGCUGACCGACGACCAGAGAGGACGUGGGCAAGUUUCGCCUCUGGGCAGAUUCAUCAACUAUUGAAUGUAAAUAGUGUGUAGACCCAGUGUCAUUCCACGAGGCCCGUAUUACGCCUGUGCCGUGGAAUGCUUCCAUGGUGACUGGUAUCAGUCCACGCGAUAUGGAAGCGCCUGUCAUGGCACUUAAUUUGCGUUAGUUCAGAAGAUUCACGUCUUCGCGGCACGGUCUCUGGAGCCCUAGGAGUUGAUAGAAUUCUCGGGGUAUCUGUUGCACGUCUGCUUGUCAACGAGGCUAUUGUGCACUUCCCGCCGUUCCUCCUGGUCUCGUGUGGUGGUACGUCUGCAGACUUCAUGCCAUCGUCAGGAGCUGGAAUUUGUCUUCAUUAAACGUGUCCUGUGGCCCACUGAGUUAAGUUUGCCGUCUCAUCUAUUGUCUACUUCAAAAAACAUCAGUGUCGUUUGCAAAGGAUCACUGUACACUUUGCGGUCCAACCUGGAUACCACAGUGUGUGCUUGGUACUCUAUCGCUUGCGACACAGGAGAAUACACGCCAAACUAUCCUCGACUUAAUCAUGUUUGUUUUUCAGUAGAAUACAGUACAUCUUUCCGGCUUGGAGCACUGAACACUGCAUUCCACGAUGUUAGUGAAAAAGGAUCAGUUCCUGAUAACAUGGCUCUAAUUAUUCUGGGAUGUGUUUUUAAUUUACUUAAAUGUCUGGUUUAAAUUGUCCUGGCUUGGUGCCUCUUGAUAAUUUGUUAAAUUGCAACAAUUUUAAAUAUAAUGGUGGUAAUCUAGUAUAAUAUUGCACUUGUAAGGGUCAUGAGGACAGGAUGACAGCUCUUAAACCACAAUUAAAUUAGCCCUUGCUAAUGAUGAGGGCGCAGCGCACACCAAAGUGGAUACACUUGUAAUAUAGUAAGAAAAAAAUAUGGGUUAUGGAAGAGCAAAUAUAUACUGCAAUUUUAUACUAAAAUUCUAAGAAUGUGGAAUAAACUGACUGUUCCUUAAUUGUUUGCAAAAUUAGUUUAUAAUUUGAGGAUAAUUUAUACAUUUUUAAAUAUUGUUUACACA